rnacentral:rRNA from 1 species
CCUACGGGAGGCAGCAGUGGGGAAUAUUGGACAAUGGGGGGAACCCUGAUCCAGCCAUGCCGCGUGUGUGAAGAAGGCCCUCGGGUUGUAAAGCACUUUCAGUGAGGAAGAACGCCUGGUGGUUAAUACCCAUCAGGAAAGAAAUCACUCACAGAAGAAGCACCGGCUAACUCCGUGCCAGCAGCCGCGGUAAUACGGAGGGUGCGAGCGUUAAUCGGAAUUACUGGGCGUAAAGCGCGCGUAGGUGGCUUGAUAAGCCGGUUGUGAAAGCCCCGGGCUCAACCUGGGAACGCAUCCGGAACUGUCAAGCUAGAGUGCAGGAGAGGAAGGUAGAAUUCCCGGUGUAGCGGUGAAAUGCGUAGAGAUCGGGAGGAAUACCAGUGGCGAAGGCGGCCUUCUGGACUGACACUGACACUGAGGUGCGAAAGCGUGGGUAGCAAACAGGAUUAGAUACCCUAGUAGUC